rfam:Gossypium arboreum cultivar AKA8401 contig_20228_9, whole genome shotgun sequence.
AUACCUUUCUCGGCCUUUUGGCUAAGAUCAAGUGUAGUAUCUGUUCUUAUCAGUUUAAUAUCUGAUACGUGAUCCAUCGGAUCACAUGAUAUUAAAUUUAUUUUUCCAGUGGGAUAGUCCAUCACAGUAGCUUGCUAUUGGGGCUCUCAAGCGUCGCUCAGGUUUUGCACUGUUGCUUGGGCUUGGCGAACCACAC